CCAAUCUCCAACCCCGAGGGAGGGGCGUGGUGUGGAAAGGCAGGGCCUUUUGUCUGUGUCGUUCCUGGUUGCGUCUCAGCUUCACACGGUGCCUGCAUGCUGCAGACUCUCAACAGACAUCGAAAGAAUGAAUGGACUCAGCACCCAGGGCCUGCAGGGAGAUGAGUUUAUCUUUGCUUGUCUUUGCAGGCCAGGGUCUCAGAAUGCUGUUGGGGUUAGGGGGAUUAAGCAUAUAAUGAUCAUGUAUGACAAGUCACUCCAAAAAUGAUUUGAGUGGUUUGAAUUCACAGAACUACAAACUUGGCUAGGCAGAGGGACUGGACUGCAUGGGAAAUCUUGACGGACCUUAUUGUGUCUGAAUCUUUAUUUCUCCGUGUAAAAUGGGGAUGAAAGAAAUCAGGUAUGCCUUUGUCCCAGGAAUGCUGAGCUGGGAGAAAAAGAGGGGUGUGGUGCGUAUGGUGCAGACUGCAGUUCUGGAGAAUGGGGAAUUGGAUUGGGUCCUCUGCUGGCUCCAUCAGGAACACUGGCAGUUUGUCAAGGUCCAAGUUUCCUGGAAAAUGGAUAGUUUGGAUGAGAAGAUUUUUUAUUUUUUUGAAGAGAUGGUCUCACUAUGUUGCGUGGACUUGUCUCAAACUCCUGCCUCAGCCUCUCAAAGUGCUGGGAUUAUGGUGAUGAGCCAAUGCACCUGGCCUGGAUGAGAAGAUCUUUAAAGACUUAAGUCAAGCUUUGAGUGUUCCUGGGUCCCAGGGAAUGGGCAGGAUGAGUUAACAACAAAAGUCUGUUUAAUUUUGCUUAAGGGGCUCAUCCACUUGAUUGGUUCUGUAUGACAAUGGCAGACUCAGUUCAACAACAGUGGUUGGCUGAAUUCAUUCAUUUAUUCAUUCUUUCAACAGAAUGUUACCGGACACGUAACAUAUGCUGGUCAGGACCAGCCACAUAAUUUGCAAGGCCCAGUGCAAAAUAAAAAUGCGAGGUCUCUUGUUCAAAAAUUAUUAAGAAUUUCAAGACACCAAGAGUAGAGCAUUAAACCAAGCAUGGAGCCCUUUCAAGCAUGGGACCUUGAGUGACUACAUAGGUCACACAUCCAUGAGGCCAGUCCGGC
rnacentral:lncRNA from 10 species